UACAGGGGGGGCAAGCGUUGUUCGGAAUUACUGGGCGUAAAGGGUCUGUAGGUGGCCAACUAAGUCAGACGUGAAAUCCCUCAGCUUAACUGGGGAACUGCGUCUGAUACUGGAUGGCUUGAGUGCAGGAGAGGAAUGCGGAAUUCCAGGUGUAGCGGUGAAAUGCGUAGAUAUCUGGAGGAACACCGGUGGCGAAGGCGGCUCACUGGCUCGUAACUGACGCUCAGGCACGACAGCGUGGGGAUCAAACAGG
rnacentral:rRNA from 1 species